rnacentral:rRNA from 1 species
GAUGAACGCUGGCGGCGUGCUUAACACAUGCAAGUCGAACGGAAAGGCUCCUGCUUGCAGGGGUACUCGAGUGGCGAACGGGUGAGUAACACGUGGGGGAAAUGCACUGCACUGACGGAUAAGACUUGGGAACUGGGUCUAAUAUAGGAUAGAAUGUUGGUAUGGAUACGGUUGUGUAAAGUUUUUUCGGUGUGGGAUGAGCUAUCGGUCUAUCAGCUUGGCGGUGGGGAAAUGGUCAACCAAGGCGUCGCCUGGUCGCCGGCGUGAGAGGGUGUACGGCCACAUUGGGCCUGCGAGACGGCCCAGUAUCCUACGUGAGGCAGCAGUGGGGAACUUUGCACAAUGGGCGCAAGCCUGAUGCAGCGACGUUGCGUGCGGGAUGACGUCUUUCGAGUUGUAAACUCCUGUCGCUAUGGAUGAAGCGCACGUGACGGUACCUGGAGAAGAAGCACCGGCUAACUACGUG